AGCCAGGUGUGGUUGUGUACGCCUGUAAUCCCAGCUACUCGGGAGGCUGAGGCAGGAGAAUCGCUUGGACCCAGGAGGUAGAAGUUGCAUUGAUCCAAGAUUAUCCCACUGUACUCCAGCCUAGAUGACAGAGCAAGACUC